rnacentral:lncRNA from 1 species
GGAAAGGGCAUGGUGGCUGCUUCUGUCACCCUCACCUGACAUGCCUUCCCCUCUAGUGGCUUGCUGUAGGGCCAGAGAGUGUGAGUGCCCACUAGAACCUUCGGCUUCAUCUCUUGAUUGCUGAUGGGGGCAAGAACAACAGAAAGCAGCCUACACUGAGCUUCGACUUGCAUUCUUCUGGAGAUCAGAAGUUCUGGAGUGACACUUGUGAGCAGCAUUCAUGAGUUGCCUCCACAGUCGGUGAGAUGGGUCCGCUCAAGUACUGCAUAC